UAAAGAGUUCUAUAACUCCCAAACCCAUGUGAACAUACCUAACGUUGCCUCGGCAGGUCGCACCUACCUUGUAGCACCCUACCCUGUAGGGCCUACCCGGGAGGUGCGGGUAAGCCUGCCGGCGGCCCACCAAACUCUGUUUGAUAUUGAAUUCUGAACCUAUAACUAAAUAAGUUAAAACUUUCAACAACGGAUCUCUUGGUUCUGGCAUCGAUGAAGAACGCAGCGAAAUGCGAUAAGUAAUGUGAAUUGCAGAAUUCAGUGAAUCAUCGAAUCUUUGAACGCAUAUUGCGCCCAUUAGUAUUCUAGUGGGCAGGACCGUUCGAGCGUCAUUUCAACCCUUAAGCCUUCGUUGCUUAGUGUUGGGAGCCUACGGCAACGUAGCUCCUCAAAGUUAGUGGCGGAGUUGGUUCACACUCUAGACGUAGUAAUUUUUUAUCUCGCCUAUUAGUUGGACUAAUCCCCUGCCGUAAAACCCCCAAUUUAUCAAGGUUGACCUCGAAUCGGUUCAGACAAACUCGCUAAAUUGAAGCAUCUUAGUCAGCGAAGGAAAAGAAACCAACAGGGAUUGCCCUAGUAACGGCGAGUGAAGCGGCAACAGCUCAAAUUUGAAAUCUGG
rnacentral:rRNA from 1 species